GCUCGCCUCUAUAUCUAGGUCUAUACCCGAACUCUUACCGAACUCGAGCGUCCUUAUCUAGAUAGCCACACAUACUACUUUUGUGGGAACCAUGGCUUACACAGUAAUAUUUUAUUUUAGUAAGGGUUGC
rnacentral:rRNA from 2 species